rnacentral:rRNA from 1 species
UACGUAGGGUGCGAGCGUUAAUCGGAAUUACUGGGCGUAAAGCGUGCGCAGGCGGUUUUGUAAGCCAGAUGUGAAAGCCCCGGGCUUAACCUGGGAAUGGCAUUUGGGACUGCAAGGCUGGAGUGUGGCAGAGGAGACUGGAAUUCCUGGUGUAGCAGUGAAAUGCGUAGAUAUCAGGAAGAACACCCGUGGCGAAGGCGGUUAGCUGGGCAGUUGCUGACACUGAGGCGCGACAGCGUGGGGAGCAAACAGG